UCGAAACUGCGUAACUGGAGUGCAGGAGAGGAGACCGGAAUUCCUGGUGUACCGGUGAAAUGCCGUUGAUAUCAAGAAGAACACCGGCGGCGAAGCCGGCUCUCUGGAAUGCAACUGACACUGAGGCACGAAAGCUGGGGGAGCGAACAGGAUUAGAUACCCUGGUAGUCCCAGCCGUAAACGGUGCGCACUUGGUGUGGGGGGAAUUGACCCCCUCCGUGCCGUAGUUAACGCGUUAAGUGCGCCGCCUGGGGAGUACGGUCGCAAGGCUAAAACUCAAAGAAAUUGACGGGGGCCCGCACAAGCGGAGGAGCAUGUGGCUUAAUUCGAUGCAACGCGAAGAACCUUACCAGGGCUUGACAUAUACCUGCACGCCCCGGGAAACCGGGGAAGCCUUCGAGGGUGGUAUACAGGUGCUGCAUGGCUGUCGUCAGUUCGUGCCGUGAGGUGUCUGGUUAAGUCCAACAACGAACGCAACCCUUGUGUUUAGUUGCCACUCUCGGUGUUAAACCGGGAAGCACUCUAAACAGACUGCCCGUGCAAGCGGGAGGAAGGUGGGGAUGACGUCAAGUCAGUAUGGCCCUUACGCCCUGGGCUGCACACGUGCUACAAUGGCGAGGUACAAUGGGAUGCAAUGCCGUAAGGUGGAGCAAAUCCUCAAAACUUGCCCUAGUUCGGAUUGGAGUCUGCAACUCGACUCCAUGAAGUUGGAUUCGCUAGUAAUGGCGUAUCAGCUACGACGCCGUGAAUACGUUCCCGGGCCUUGUACACACCGCCCGUCACAUCAUGAAAGCCGUCUGCACCCGAAGUCGCUGAGCCAAUCCUUCAUUGGAAGGCAGGUGCCGAAGGCGUGGGUGUAAUUGGGAUGAAGUCGU
rnacentral:rRNA from 1 species